GAUGAACGCUGGCGGCGUGCCUAAUACAUGCAAGUAGAACGCUGAAGGAGGAGCUUGCUCUUCUGGAUGAGUUGCGCACGGGUGAGUAACGCGUAGGUAACCUGCCUGGUAGCGGGGGAUAACUAUUGGAAACGAUAGCUAAUACCGCAUGACAUCAGUUAUUGCAUGAUAACUGUUUAAAAGGGGCAACUGCUCCACUACCAGAUGGACCUGCGUUGUAUUAGGUAGUUGGUGAGGUAACGGCUCACCAAGGCGACGAAACAUAGCCGACCUGGGAGGGGGAUCGGCCACACUGGGACUGGAACACGGCCCAGACUCCCACGGGAGGCAGCAGGAGGGGAUCUUCGGCAAUGGACGGAAGUCUGACCGAGCAAAGCCGCGUGAGUGAAGAAGGGUUUCGGAUCGUAAAGCUCUGUUGUAAGGGAAGAACGAGUGUGAGAGUGGAAAGUUCACACUGUGACGGUAUCUUACCAGAAAGGGACGGCUAACUACGUG
rnacentral:rRNA from 1 species